UGCCUGUGCGUUGAAACUGGGUGUGGUGCUAAGUAUAUCUUGUUUACCUUAUCUUUCUUUGGAAAAAUUUUCAAGUCUGGUUGGGUUUGUCACUGAGCAUCACGCCUGUUGCUUAGUACUACCAAAUUGUUCUUAUCUAGCAACAAAGACUGAAUAGGUGGAGUUUGCGGCUUGGC
rfam:Pteropus vampyrus cont1.33331, whole genome shotgun sequence.